GUCCACGCCGUAACGAUGAUUACUCGAUGUUGGCGAUACACAGUCAGCGUCUAAGCGAAAGCAAUAAGUAAUCCACCUGGGGAGUACGAUCGCAAGGUUGAAACUCAAAGGAAUUGACGGGGCCCGCACAAGCGGAGGAGCAUGUGGUUUAAUUCGAUGAUACGCGAGGAACCUUACCUGGGCUUGAACGUACUAUGACUGAUGCCGAAAAGGUGUCUUCUCUUCGGAGCAUUUUUACGAGGUGCUGCAUGGCUGUCGU
rnacentral:rRNA from 1 species